AUACGGAGGGUGCAAGCGUUAUUCGGAGUCACUGGGCGUAAAGGACGCGUAGGCGGGUUGGCAAGUCAGAUGUGAAAUCCUACAGCUUAACUGUAGAACUGCAUUUGAAACUGCUAACCUAGAGUAUGGGAGGGGGAGAUGGAAUUAGUGGUGUAGGGGUAAAAUCCGUAGAUAUCACUAGGAAUACCGAAAGCGAAGGCGAUCUCCUGGAACAUAACUGACGCUAAGGCGUGAAAGCGUGGGGAGCAAACAGGAGUAGAUACCCGAGUAGUCC
rnacentral:rRNA from 1 species